rnacentral:rRNA from 1 species
AAUGAACGCUGGCGGCAGGCUUAACACAUGCAAGUCGAACGAGUGGCGGACGGGAUAGUAAUGCUUGGGACUCUGGCUUAUGGCGGGGGAUAACGACGGGAAACUGUCGCUAAUCCCGCGUACCAUAGGAUGAGCCCAUGUUGGAUUAGGUAGUUGGUGGGGUAAUGGCCUACCAAGCCGACGACCUCUAGCUGGUCUGAGCGGAUGACCAGCCACACCGGGACUGAGAAACGGCCCUGACUCCGACGGGAGGCAGCAGAGGGGAAUAUUGCGCAAUGGGGGCAAACUAACGCAGCCAUGCCGCGUGAAUGAAGAGGGCCUUCGGGUUGUAAAGUUCUAUAGGUGACGAGGCGUUAAUCAGAGAAGAAGCCCCGGCUAAAUCAGUGCCAGCAGGCGCGGUAAUAC